GGAUAGCUCAGUUGGCAGAGCACAAAUCUCUUAAUCUCAGGGUUGUGGGUUCAAGUCCCACGUUGGGCA